rnacentral:rRNA from 1 species
AUGAACGCUAGCUACAGGCUUAACACAUGCAAGUCGAGGGGCAGCAUGGUCUUAGCUUGCUAAGGCCGAUGGCGACCGGCGCACGGGUGAGUAACACGUAUCCAACCUGCCGUCUACUCUUGGACAGCCUUCUGAAAGGAAGAUUAAUACAAGAUGGCAUCAUGAGUCCGCAUGUUCACAUGAUUAAAGGUAUUCCGGUAGACGAUGGGGAUGCGUUCCAUUAGAUAGUAGGCGGGGUAACGGCCCACCUAGUCUUCGAUGGAUAGGGGUUCUGAGAGGAAGGUCCCCCACAUUGGAACUGAGACACGGUCCAAGCUCCUACGGGAGGCAGCAGUGAGGAAUAUUGGUCAAUGGGCGAGAGCCUGAACCAGCCGAGUAGCGUGAAGGAUGACUGCCCUAUGGGUUGUAAACUUCUUUUAUAAAGGAAUAAAGUCGGGUAUGGAUACCCGUUUGCAUGUACUUUAUGAAUAAGGAUCGGCUAACUCCGUGCCAGCAGCCGCGGUAAUACGGAGGAUCCGAGCGUUAUCCGGAUUUAUUGGGUUUAAAGGGAGCGUAGAUGGAUGUUUAAGUCAGUUGUGAAAGUUUGCGGCUCAACCGUAAAAUUGCAGUUGAUACUGGAUAUCUUGAGUGCAGUUGAGGCAGGCGGAAUUCGUGGUGUAGCGGUGAAAUGCUUAGAUAUCACGAAGAACUCCGAUUGCGAAGGCAGCCUGCUAAGCUGCAACUGACAUUGAGGCUCGAAAGUGUGGGUAUCAAACAGGAUUAGAUACCCUGGUAGUCCACACGGUAAACGAUGAAUACUCGCUGUUUGCGAUAUACUGCAAGCGGCCAAGCGAAAGCGUUAAGUAUUCCACCUGGGGAGUACGCCGGCAACGGUGAAACUCAAAGGAAUUGACGGGGGCCCGCACAAGCGGAGGAACAUGUGGUUUAAUUCGAUGAUACGCGAGGAACCUUACCCGGGCUUAAAUUGCAGAUGAAUUACGGUGAAAGCCGUAAGCCGCAAGGCAUCUGUGAAGGUGCUGCAUGGUUGUCGUCAGCUCGUGCCGUGAGGUGUCGGCUUAAGUGCCAUAACGAGCGCAACCCUUGUUGUCAGUUACUAACAGGUUCCGCUGAGGACUCUGACAAGACUGCCAUCGUAAGAUGUGAGGAAGGUGGGGAUGACGUCAAAUCAGCACGGCCCUUACGUCCGGGGCUACACACGUGUUACAAUGGGGGGUACAGAGGGCCGCUACCACGCGAGUGGAUGCCAAUCCCCAAAACCUCUCUCAGUUCGGACUGGAGUCUGCAACCCGACUCCACGAAGCUGGAUUCGCUAGUAAUCGCGCAUCAGCCACGGCGCGGUGAAUACGUUCCCGGGCCUUGUACACACCGCCCGUCAAGCCAUGGGAGCCGGGGGUACCUGAAGUGCGUAACCGCGAGGAG